rnacentral:rRNA from 1 species
UACGUAGGUGGCAAGCGUUGUCCGGAUUUACUGGGCGUAAAGAGCGCGCAGGCGGUCAGAUAAGUCGAAUGUGAAAGCCCCCGGCUCAACUGGGGAGGGUCAUUCGAUACUGUUCGACUCGAAGGCAGGAGAGGGAAGUGGAAUUCCCGGUGUAGUGGUGAAAUGCGUAGAUAUCGGGAGGAACACCUGUGGCGAAAGCGGCUCACUGGACCACAACUGACGCUGAGGCGCGAAAGCUAGGGGAGCAAACAGG